rnacentral:rRNA from 1 species
CUACGGGUUGCACCAGUGAGGAAUAUUGCACAAUGGGGGGGAACCCUGAUGCAGCAACGCCGCGUGGAGGAUGACGCAUUUCGGUGUGUAAACUCCUUUUAUAUGUCAAGAAAAUGACGGUAGCAUAUGAAUAAGCACCGGCUAACUCCGUGCCAGCAGCCGCGGUAAUACGGAGGGUGCAAGCGUUACUCGGAAUCACUGGGCGUAAAGGACGCGUAGGCGGGUUGGAAAGUCAGGUGUGAAAUCCUACAGCUUAACUGUAGAACUGCACUUGAAACUUCUAAUCUAGAGUAUGGGAGGGGGAGAUGGAAUUAGUGGUGUAGGGGUAAAAUCCGUAGAUAUCACUAGGAAUACCUAAAGCGAAGGCGAUCUCCUGGAACAUUACUGACGCUAAGGUGCGAAAGCGUGGGGAGCAAACAGGAUUAGAUACCCCCGUAGUC